AAACAACACAUCUAACCCUAGAGACAACACUGAAACGGCACCCAUCUCCUAGCCCGUUUCUGCCCCGCUUCAACUCGCCGAGUUUGUUGGUCCCUCCUUGCAUCUCUCUCCAACAUGGCUUAACCAUUUCUGACAGAUUCUCUCUCCCUCACAUGCGCUCUCUUUGUUUUUUUCCGGAUUUUUACUCUUUUAGAUGGAAAUUAGGAAAAAUGAGAGGCGUAGGAUUGAGUGAAAUUGGAUCCACUCCCUCCAUUUGUCCGUUUUUUCCAUCAAAAAGGGUAAAAAAUCAGAUUUGGAUUUUGCGAAUUUUUGGGAGAUUUCUUGGGAAGGAAGCAUAGAAGGUUCGAGAAUAUUGGAGGUUUAUAUAUAAAGUAAGGAUUUUCUUGGUUAAGGGGUCAGAGAUUUCUUUCGGAAAUUGAGGGAGGUAAAAAGUUCGAGGGUUCUUGCUUUUCUUUUCUUCAGAUUCCUCAAUUUUAGUUUGCGCUUUUCAGAAAACAAAAAUAAAAAAUAGUCUGAGUUUGAUUUUGUUUUAGUUUUACUUCAUUUCAAAAGAAAAAUAAAAAAUUACCAAAAUCUCAACAUUUUUCUGAUUUCUGAUUCUCAAGAAUGGAGUUGGAUUGAAGUUUAAGUUGGAGCUUGUGUUUGGGUUCGGAAUUUCGGUGCCGUUUUGAGUUCCGUUCGAGUUUGUUUCUGAUUUCAUUCGGCUUAUUCUAGCUUUUCUCUGUUCAAUCGGAUCCAGGUAUUUGAUCGUUAGUAGCUAUGUGGAUCGUUGUUGUGAAGACUCAAGGUAGACCUGUUACUGCGUUCGCAGGCCUCGGAGUCACCUUCUAUUGUACUUAUUUCCAUUGUUUCCUUUUGUUCUGGAACAACAAUGUAUUCAUUUUGUAUAACUACUCCUAGAAAGGCUUAUGACUUGUAUUACGGGUUUUGGGAAUCUUGUAUUGUACAAAGACAUCUAAUUCGAAGUUA